UACGUAGGGGGCUAGCGUUGUCCGGAAUCAUUGGGCGUAAAGAGCGUGUAGGCGGCCCGGUAAGUCCGCUGUAAAAGUCAAAGGCUCAACCUUUGAAUGUCAGUGGAUACUGCCGGGCUAGAGUCCGGAAGAGGCGAGUGGAACUCCUGGUGUAGCGGUGGAAUGCGCAGAUAUCAGGAAGGAACACCAGUGGCGAAGGCAG
rnacentral:rRNA from 1 species